GAUGAACGCUGGCGGCGUGCCUUAUACAUGCAAGUCGAGUGGGUUUAGACCCACGGCACACGGGUGAGUAACACGUAGGUACUUUCCUUGUCACAGGAAUAACCCUCCGAAAGGAGGGCUAAUACCUGAUGUGAUCGCAAGAUUAAAGGGUAUCCGCAAGGAUUACCGGACAAGAAGAGGCCUGCGGCCUAUCAGCUAGUUGGCGGGGUAAAUGCCCACCAAGGCUAUGACGGGUAGCUGGUCUUAUGAGGAUGAUCAGUCACAUGGGCACUGAGACACGGGCCCAACUCCUACGGGAGGCAGCAGUAGGGAAUUUUGCGCAAGGGGCGAAAGCCGGACGCAGCGACGCCGCGUGCGGGAUGAAGGCCUUCGGGUCGUAAACCGCUUUUAUAAGGGACGAACUUUGACGGUACCUUAUGAAUAAGAGGUUGCUAACUCUGUG
rnacentral:rRNA from 1 species